rnacentral:rRNA from 1 species
UCGGCUUAGAGUUUGAUCAUGGCUCAGAUUGAACGCUGGCGGCAGGCUUAACACAUGCAAGUCGAACGGUAAAGUAGCUUGCUACUUACGAGUGGCGGACGGGUGAGUAACGUAUGGGAAUUUACCGAAUGGAGGGGGACAACAGUUGGAAACGGCUGCUAAUACCGCAUAACGUCGAGAGACCAAAGGGUUUCGACUUGCCAUUUGAUGAGCCCAUAUGAGAUUAGCUAGUUGGUGUGGUAAUGGCUCACCAAGGCGACGAUCUCUAGCUGGUUUGAGAGGAUGACCAGCCACACUGGGACUGAGACACGGCCCAGACUCCUACGGGAGGCAGCAGUGGGGAAUAUUGCACAAUGGGGGGAACCCUGAUGCAGCCAUGCCGCGUGUAUGAAGAAGGCCUUAGGGUUGUAAAGUACUUUCGUGGAGGAGGAAGGGUUUACGUAAUCGUGGACAUUGACGUUACUCCAAGAAGAAGCACCGGCUAACUCCGUGCCAGCAGCCGCGGUAAUACGGAGGGUGCGAGCGUUAAUCGGAAUGACUGGGCGUAAAGGGCAUGUAGGCGGAUGAUUAAGUUACAUGUGAAAUCCCUGGGCUUAACCUAGGAA